UUUUUUUCCCAAAGUGGUACGCAUGUUGUGUAAAUCAAAUGAUACAAACCACCCCCCCCCAAAAAAAUUAUUCCAGGUUGUAAGGCAACGAAAAUAGGAAAAAUGCCAAGGGGUAAAUACUUUCGCAAGCCACUAUUAUUUUUUUUAAUGUACUUUCUAUGAGACCUUUUGGUUUUAGGUGAAUUUGAACUACCUGUUUAUUUAUUUCUCUGCGUUCAUUUGUUAAAAGCAUUAAAGUGCAAGAGAGACCGGCAAGAAAUAGACUAAUGUCUAUCUCCACAAUAUCCUUUAGAUCACACAAGCACUGUGAGUUAAGAGGAUUAAGGGCUAGAGUUAUGAAAUGUCAGGAAAAAACGAGUGUUAAACACACCACACCAUAAGCUUUACAUUUACAGUGCUUCAAAAAUACCUUUUGUAAAUAUAAUUUUUAAAUAAAAUGUUAUUGCAAAUGGAUGGACUUCAUUACUGUAUUGCCAUGUUGUUGUUUUUUUUUUUUGGGGGGGGGGGGGUGAACAGGUGCUCUGCAACAGACACACAUCAGUCUUACUAUAUGAUAUGUCAUCUCUAUUGUAAAGAUUUACAGGUAGGCCGUUAUAUUUCCAUUGUAUAGGAAUGAUUCAAAAUAUCACAUCAUCCAAUAAUUUUAACCCUCUAUUUCAACCCUUAGAGGAGGUGAUAGUUUUGAGUAUGAUAUACAUCUUGAUUUUAUAUCAGUCCUAUUAAUAAAAAAAAAGAACAAUAUUCUGACAAUAACUGGCCAAAAUACUCUGUCCAUAUUAUAGGCGGCUCAUAAAAUUAUAUGAUCAGUGUGCAGGAGGAUCGUAACCGGAAGCAGACAUCCUUCAAAAGCAUUGUGGAAUAAAAACAGUUGCACAAUACAAUUUGUUUUGGAGUGGACAUGUUUUGUAUUUCUCCAUUUAUUUAUAGAAACAUCGGCAAUUUUUUAGAGACAUACGACUAAUUGAUUGACCUAACGUUAGCAUACACCGCGUACAUUUUUGACUAUGGGGCGCAGUAGAUCGCGCGACAGAAAAAAUAACAUCAAAAAAGAAAAAGCGAAGACGUUCCUCUUCAUCCCUGUCCAGCAGCAGUGCAAAUCCGAUCCCUUUAAAUAAAGUCACAUUCCGUUAAGGUUUUCGUCACUCGAUUAUAGGCAUGUAACGUUAAACAGUCACACUGGAAUGUGUAUAGCUGCUAUUAGCAACGCUGAUACACUACAGUUGCUCCUUUUGGUAUUAGGUUGUUCAAAAACAGUCCGUGGGAAGCCAGAAGUUGAAUACAAUUCCAUUUCAAUUUACUAGGACGGUUGGUAAUUAAAACGGGGGGAAUUUUAGUCAAACUAUCUAAAGGAACGUAUUAUUAAACGGACUUUCCAAACAUCGGUAUGUUGUCGACCCACUUCCUCUCUGCUUACCUGAUGUCAAAAUAAAAGUCCCCCACAAGUUAUACCAUCUAUGGCGCACGUACAGGACUUUAUUUUGAAUGAGGUAUGAAGCGAGGAAGUCGGUCUACAAAACGCUAAUUUCUAACCGACGUAGAAUUCAAUGCAAUUCAACUUCGUGUUCAACAAUGUGUAGUGCUUCAGACAAUGCACAUCCUCACACAGACAUAUCUAUUAUCUAAUUUAUCAGAGAAUAUGGUAAUGAAAUGCAUUUUAUUAUCAAUGCCGACAAUGUACCUUUGUUAUACCUUUGUCUGCUUCAGAUGGGAAAGAAGGAAAGAAAAAAAUAAAGUUCCUCAUCUUCCUUGUCAAGCUCUUCUUCAUCCUCAUCAAGUGAUGAAAAGACCAAGAGGAAGGAAAAAAUGAAAAAAUUCAAGAACUAGUCUGGGUAGCCAUUUGACUAGAUGUUCAGGAGUCUUAUGGCUUGGGGGUAGAAGCUGUUAAGAAGCCUCAAUGCUGUCAUAGUGCUAGCCUCCGUCUGUGGUGGUAUGUAAACAGCUAUAGACCACACUACCUCAGGCGAGCAAUAGCAUUUUGUCUUAUGUUGUCAAUGAUGGGAUGUUUCUUUGUUACCUAGCUCAACAAGGAAUGAAAAAUGAAACAAGACAUAAAGCUGAGCAGAUAUAUCUUUUGUUUUGUCCAUUCUUUAGCAAUGACAGAUGAGCAGAAAGCCAGGCUAUCCACCAAGAGGCCCCUAACGAAGGAGGAGUAUGAGGCUAAGCAGAGUGUCAUCUGCAGGGUGGUAGAUCCUGAGACUGGACGCACCAGGCUGAUAAGAGGAGAAGGAGAGAUCAUUGAGGAGAUUGUCAGUAAAGAAAGACACAAAGAGAUCAACAAGGUAAAUGGAAAACCAUCAAAGGCCACGUAGCGGUGUGUGCUUUUGGGGGUUAAAAUAAAAUCUUGUCCUCUACCCCCCAAAAAUGCCUACCUAACAUUUACCCUAAAAUCUUGUCACAGCAAGCCACAAAGUGAGACGGAAACCUCUUUCAGGAGAAACUAGGAUUGAACAGGUACAGGAUCACACCUGAUGCCAAGGUUAUGGUAGAAAGGAGGAAGGAGCAAUUUAUACUAUUCUGUAUAGAUAGGACAGGAGAAUCAAACUCCAGUGAAUGUUUGGUUGUGACAUGAUCACUACAUGUCUCCAAAAUGAAAGUGAAAACAACCCUUUCUGUGCAUAUCUAUGUCUAUCUAGGUCACACUUUAAAUUAAGUUUGGCCAGACUUGAUGUUUAAUUGUUCAAAUUAAAUGUAAUAACAUUCAGAUUUUACUUGACCAGCAUCCUUUCACCACAAUUCACUUUGGACUUUCUCUGAAUGCAUCAGAACGGCCAUGACGGCCUGACUGUCAAUGUUUUAUUAUUCAAUUCCAUUAUACAUGCAUUCAAACUGAACCCAAAAACCCAAGUCAACUGUGUAAUGCUGCUUACUUUAGUUUUUUUUUUACCAUGUACACUGAACAAAAAUAUAAAUGCAACAUGUAAAGUACUGGUUCUGUGUUUCAUGCACUGAAAUACAAGAUCCCCAAAAUUGUCCAUAUGCACAAAAAGCUUAUUUCGCUCAAAUUUUGUGCAAAAAUUUGAUUACAUCCCUGUUUGUGAGCAUUUUAUCCUUUGUCAAGAUAAUCCAUCCACCUGA